AUACGGAGGGGACUAGCGUUGUUCGGAAUUACUGGGCGUAAAGCGUACGUAGGCGGAUCAGAAAGUAUGGGGUGAAAUCCCAGGGCUCAACCCUGGAACUGCCUCAUAAACUCCUGGUCUUGAGUUCGAGAGAGGUGAGUGAAAUUCCGAGUGUAGAGGUGAAAUUCGUAGAUAUUCGGAGGAACACCAGUGGCGAAGGCGGCUCACUGGCUCGAUACUGACGCUGAGGUACGAAAGUGUGGGGAGCAAACAGGAUUAGAAACCCUAGUAGUCC
rnacentral:rRNA from 1 species